AUCUUCCUGCGUUUAUAGACCUUAGUUACAACAGCAGGUCUAAAAUCAUCCCAUUCCUCUCAUUAACCACCUCCAUUCUCCUCACAGCCACCAAAAACGACCUUCAACCACCUGGAAAACACCAUGGCAGCCAGCAGCUCCAAAUGGCAAGCAACAAACCACCAGAUCUCCACUAAAAAAACAACAAAAUCGACUCCAAAAAACUCUUCUCAUAGAUCUGACUAGCGAGCUAAACUAGACCCCGAACAAUCUUUUCGAAAAAUAACUCCGACCACUGUCAGUCAUUAUUCCUUUCCCCUCUCCCCUUUUAAAAUUUUUCCUUUGUUUUGUAAGUACUUCAGUGAUCUAUGAGCUCUUAUUCCGGUGACCAACGAAUCCGGCGAACAAUUAGCUGACCCAAAACGACCGGAAAUAACUCCAGAACCACCAGACAACAAGACCCCGACUCCCUUCAUCCUCUUUGCCAGAAAACUUGAGCUCGAAGCUCCAAAUGCCCACACAUAGAGAAAUUAAACACGACUACUUCGUGAUUCCAAAUAGGCCCAGCAACGAUAAUACUCCGGUACAGUUAAGAAAUGACGCUAAUAUUUCAUAGUGAUGAUGUAGUAAGUGAAGCAACACACAUUGAACUGUUUCAAGUGAUAUCGAUUUUCAGUACAAACUUUGUAUGAAGGAUUUUAGGAUAAACGUGCAACGCACAUUCUGUGGAAACUAGUAUAUAUAUAUAUAUAUUACUGUUAUAGUUUUGGUCAUAUAUGGCUGCUAUUAUUUAUAAUGCAAAUCUAAUGUUCCAGCCACUUUCGUGUUAAGUGGUUCCAUUUAGUCAUUAUUAUUUGCAUUUGUUAAUCAUGUCUCUAUUUUAGUUAAUCAUUAGUUGUUGUUUAUUCGUUAUUGUAUCAUCUCCGUUUAUUUAAAUUCAAAUAUUACUAGUUGACUGAUUUUAUAUGUUCUUAAUUGUUUCUAAUUAAGUGUUUAGUUGGGUAAAUCUUCAUGUUAUUUUAAAAUUUGCCGAUAAUGAAAUUACCGUCGAUUUUGCAAUGCCUCGCAAUGGUAAAAGAUAGAAAUGUAUUUUAUGUUUAUAUUUUGUUUGUCAAACUGUCCGAUGAAGAAAUUACCGUCGAUUUCCAAGGUCUCCCAUGUUAAUAAGACGAGUUUUUAUUUUUAAGUGAUUAUUUGAUUUAUUCAUUAUUAAUACUUUUACUAAAUGUUUUUACAUGUACACGGAGGUGCUUCCCAUUGAAGCUAUUCUAAUGAAGUCCAAAUUAUACUUUUUAUUCAUUAUUUUUUAUAUAUUAACGUUAGGCAAACUUAGGUUAUUUCUUAUUAGAUUAUUUCAUUUUAUUACUUGUGUAUAUCACACGUUUAUUAUACUUGUAUAUUUGUUUUUAUCUCUUUCUCAAUUUGAAAAAUAAACUUAGUCGGGAACCACAAAUGUGGAUUUCAAAGGAUGCCUAACACAUUUUAUUCGGAAUAACUUGAACCCCUUACCUCGAAUCUGUUGGUUUUGUAGCCAUUUUUUUAAAGUUAAUUUGUUAAUUGUUUUUCUAGUUUUCCUAAAAAUUCGGUGGUGAUUUCCUUUUAUUCUUUCACUCCUUUUUAAAAUUAUUUUGAUUCUUGAUUUAAAUUGAUUAGUUAUAUUGCAAUUGAGUCACCAAGACGUGGCGCCCUCACAAGGAUGUCAACAAGUACUUCUUCCUCUAACAAUAAUUCUUGUUAUGUUUGUCAUUAGGCCAAACAAACUAAAAUGUUGUUAUCUUUAUCAAGUACAAAUACAAAUUCUCCUUUUGUUUAAGUUCAUUAGGAUGUUUAACAUGCUCCUAUUGCCUAAAAUUCUGGAUAUCGUUAUUGUAUUUUAUUUCUUAAUGAUUGCACUAAAUUCUCUUAGAUAUAUGUGAUUCAUGAAAAUUUUGAAUCAUUCAAAAAUUUCAAAAAGUUCCAGGUAGUGGUUGAAAAUAUUUUUCACACCUCUAUUUCCUAUUUUCAAUCUGAUCGGGACUGAGAAUAUGCUAAUCAAAAUUUUAAAUCCGUCUUCCAGCAAAAUGGCAUCCACCUUUCUCUUUUCCUCACAUGUAUGCUUAAAACGUAGGGCUGAGAGUAAACAUAGACACAUCUCUAAUGUUCUUCGUUUCCUUAUUUUUUAAGCGUCUAUAUCUUUUAAUUUUUGGGGGUGAUGCUUGUUUUCAUGUUUUCUUUCUUAUUAACAUAACUCAUCUUCCAGUGUUGUGUUAUUACUCUCCAUUUGACUGUAUGGUCAUAUCCCUGAUUACAAUCUAAUUCGUGUGUUUGGGUGUUUUUGUUAUCCCUUUGUGGCAUCUAAUAAGUGUUGUAAGGUCCACCCUCUAUCAAAACCAUGAUUGUUUCUUGGUUAAUUAGAUAAACAAAAAGGUAUUAAAUGUUUUUGAUCCUUGCUCAAAUGUAACUCUCAUCUCUCGACAUGUAUAUUUAGUUGAGACCUCCUUCCCAUUUGGGAAUCUAUUUGUUACUCUUACGCUAACUUCGUUCACCCAAACCUACCUCAUUCCCACCUAUUUUUUUAUCAUAAUUCCAUGUCUUUUACCUCUCCUUUAUAUAAUACUCAUUUUGGAGAAACUUCAAAAAGGAGUAGUAGUUCGGUUCUUACCUAAUCAAGAUCACAUUUAAAAAGAGGAUUAUUCAAACUCCAUUGAUUUCACAGUCCCAAACAAAAUAGAAGUCUCUACACUCCUUUAAAUAUGGAGAAUAUCGUUGUCAAUUCUCUUCCUUAAACUAGUAGUGUUACUCCCAUCCAACUACUCGUAAUGUCAACUUCGGACCCCUCUUCAUUACUCCUCUUGAAGGAGAUAUUUCAUCCCCUGUCCCUUCCCUCGCAAACCAUUUGUCCAUCUAAUAUUCUUCAAAUAACUUCCUAACAAUCACCCAUCGUAAAUCCUCGAACUCAUCAUAUGGGGACUCGUUAUAAAGAUAGGGUUGCUCAAGCCUCACGUCCUCCAUACUUAAAAGCAUCCAGAUGUUCCAUUUCAUCUGAACCCACAUCAUUCCAAGCUUGUAAAGACUUAUUGGAUGCAAGAAGUGAGUUUCGAAUUUGACUCUCUUGUCAAAAAUAAAACUUGGAUCUUGUUGUCGUCUCCUCCAAAUGAAAAUAUUGUUGGCAACAAAUGGGUGUUUCAGAUCAAGUUUUGGGCCAAUGUUUCUGUUGAAAGAUUUGAAUCUCGUUUAGUGGCCCAAGUGCUUUUUUAGCAGCCCCCGGUGGUUUAUUUUGAGACUUUUGAUCCUGCCAUUAAGCCUAGCACAAUGCGUUUGAUCUUAUAUUUGGCUCUAAAAAGAGUUGGCAUAUGCACCAACUUGAUGAGUCAAAUGCUUUCUUGCAUGUUGAGUUAUCCGAGACUGUUUAUAUGCUCUAACCGAAGAGAUUUGAACAUCCAGAUUAUCCCAAUUAUGUGCAUAAGUUGCAGCUUGCUCUAUAUGACCUUAAGCAAUCUCCAAGGGUUUGGUUUCAUGGUAUUUCUCAUUUCCUUCAUGAUCUAGGUUUUAAGCAAUAUGUUUCAAAUAAAAGCAUGCUCAUUUUUCACUCAAGGGUAAUGUUUCUCCACAAUUACUGCACAAUUUUGGAAAUCGAGAAAGGUUUGGGGUCAAAGGUGAGCUUAAGCACUACUUUUUAUCCUGAGACAGAUGCACAAGUAGAGCGUACUAUCUAGACCAUAGAAGAUAUGUUGAGAGCUUAGUGAUAAAAUUCAAAGGGAACUUAGAUGAUCACAUACCUCUCAUUGAGUUCGUUUACAACAAUUACCAUUCGAGCAUCCAAAUGGCUCCAUAUGAGACUCUUUAUGGGAGAAGAUCUAAAUCUCCCACUGGGUGGUUAGAAGUUUGGGAAUCAGGGUUAAUAUGACCAGAGUUAGUUUACCAUGCCAUGGGAAAAGUGAAAAAUGAUCCAAUAGAGGUUGAAGAUGGUGCAGAGUCGCAAAAAGUCCUACACAGAUGUUAGGAUAAGGCCGUUAGAGAUUGAGGUGGAUGAUUGGGUAUAUCUUAAGGUAUCACCCAUGAAUGGGAUUAUGAGGUUUGGUAAGCAGGGGAAACUUAGUCCCCUAUAUAUUGGACCUUAUAGAAUAUCCAAGAGAGUAGGAAAUGUAACUUAUGAGUUGGAGCUACCAACGGAAUUAGUAGCGGUUCAUUCGGUAUUUCAUGUAUACAUGUUGAAGAAGUGCAUGUGUGAUCCUUCACUGAUUGUACCUACUCAGUAUGUUGGUAUUAAAGAUAGCUUAUCCUUUAAAGAGAUUCCGGUAAAAAUUUUGGAUCGUUAUGUUCGCAAGUUGAGAACAAAGAAAGUUGCAUCACUCAAAGUCCUUAGGAGAAAUCAAUUUGUUGAAGAAGCAACUAGGGAAGCUGAGGUGGAUAUGAAGAAGAGAUGUCCACAUCUCUUUGAAUCCGGAGAAUGUAUAUCAAGGUACUAAAUUCUCUUCUUAUCACUUUAUAAG